GGGGAUAUAACUCAGUUGGUAGAGUGUGCGCUUUGCAAGCGUGAAGUCAAGAGUUCAAAUCUCUUUAUCUCCA
rnacentral:tRNA from 1 species